rnacentral:lncRNA from 10 species
CCUGCCCUUCCCAGGUGAGCACUCUCAGGUGGGUUGGGACUGCUGCUAGGCCACUGUUUCUUAAGACUGCCUUCUUUUCCAGGCUCAGGGAAACACCAUUGCCUUUUCCUAGAUUGCUGAGAAUUUCCAGAGGCCUACGGCCAAAGCAUCUUCUUCUGUGGCAUAUACUUUUGCAUUUCUGAUGACCGGGUGACUCCACUGGGACCAGAGACUCAACCCUCAACAGGUCCUGUGGCCCCCACCUAGAAGUGGACUCAGCGCACAAAGACCAUUUCCACACCCCUAUGACUGUAUCCCCAACCAGUCAGCAGCAGCCAUUCCCUAGCCCCUCCUGCCAAACUAUCUUUAGAAAACUCUAGCCUCCAAUUUUUGGGGAGGCUGAUUUGAGUAACCAAAAAUUCCAGUCUCCUGUUUAGCCAGCUUUAUGUGCAUUAAACUCUUUCUCUAUUGCAAUUCCCCUGUCUUGAUCCAUUGGCUAUCUGGGCAGCAGGCAAAAUGAACCAAUCAUGCAGUUACAUCCUCUCUCCUCACUCCCCUUUUUAUCUUCUUCUCUUCUUUUGACCUCAAAUUCAAGUUCUUCCCAUUGGAUUGCAACACCUUGGGACAAUUUAGCACUGCUCAGCCCCUGCUCCUAAACCCAGCUCCAGCCUGCCUCUGCACCACUCAUAGUGGCUUGGCUAAAGAGCCUGAUUCUGUUCCUAGACAAAGGCCAUCUCUCCCCCAUGGGUAGCGUGGUAGUUCUUAAAUAUGUCUACAGAUUCUUUGAUACUUCUUUCAAAGGGUGACACCUAUGUCUCCUCCCCUUUAGUAUGGGCUAUGCUUACUGACUCAAUUCCAGUCAAUAAAGGGCCACAGAAGUGACAUGUGACUUUCCAGAUGAGGGCAACAAAGACACUGUGACUUCCUCCUUAGAUCACCCACUCUGGGGCAAGUCAGCUGCCCUCACAAGGACUCAGAGAAGCUUCUCUCUCUCUUCCCAUCCUCCAUUACUAAUUCUUCCCAAUAAACACCACCAC